GACGAACGCUGGCGGCGUGCCUAACACAUGCAAGUCGAACGGAAGUAAGAGCUUCGGUUUUUACUUUAGUGGCGAACGGGUGAGUAACGCGUGAGGAACCUGCCUUUCAGUGGGGGACAACAGUUGGAAACGACUGCUAAUACCGCAUAAUGUUUCCGAUCCGCAUGGAUUGGAAACCAAGCUUUAUGUGCUGAAAGAUGGCCUCGCGUCUGAUUAGAUAGUUGGUGGGGUAACGGCCUACCAAGGCGAUGAUCAGUAGCCGGUCUGAGAGGAUGAACGGCCACAUUGGGACUGAGACACGGUCCAA
rnacentral:rRNA from 1 species